rnacentral:lncRNA from 1 species
AUGCUAAGGCACCUCGCUGCUUUAGAAAGCGGCCCUGCCAUCACCGGGACGACACACUACCCCGCUUCCGAGCCAAGCUCCAGGAAAAGGGGGCUUAGCGGCGGCAGUAACCCGAGUCGGACCUCGCCUGGAGAGAGGACACAGAAGGGCAAGGCUCCGGCCGCAACCCCAAGCCGAGUCGCGAGGGGGCAGGGACCCCCAGCCUCCCGCGCGGCCAAUGGCAGGCCCAGGAGAGGGAAGCCCCGCAGCCGGGGAGGGUGGAGAUUCCCGACGCCCCGCACAGUCCCGCAGCGCCCUCGGCCGAGAUCUAACCUGGUCUCUAACGCCUCGCGCCGCUGGAGAGCGGAACUCGGGCAGUUAUUAGCCGGGGUCCGCUCAGCGCCCCCACUUCUCACCCCUGACCCGCAGGCGAGGACCCAUCGGAGCUUCCGGGAGGCGGGGCCAAGGAAAGGAAGAAGGGAACCGAAAGAGGAAGGGGCUUCAACGAGGCCGGGCGGAAGUGACGUCCCGCGAGGGCGCCGCGCGCCCGGAAACAGAGGCCGUCGCUCUAGCAACGCCCAGGCAGCCGACCUCAGCGUGCACCCGCUCCGCGCUGUCGCGGGCGAGAGCGCCCCUGGCUUCCUCGGCUCGUCGGCCACUGUUGCUGCGACCCAGUGUUUGUACUGGAAUAAAGUGCCUGGUUCCGUUGCCUCUUCCGGGUAUUCCUUAAAAAGCAGAAAAGCCAUUUCCCCAACAUUAUAAAAACACAAACUUUGCUUAUCACAAUCCUCCACCUGCCCAUGCUGCUUGCAUCCCCUGGAGAAUCUUCUGUGGACAUCGGCCUCUUAGUGAAGCUGCCAGGAUAAUUUCUGUUUGCCAUGGGCAUCUGGCCACCAAGGAAUUUCACACCCUGAGGAUUACUCUUGACACUUUUAUGUAUUCCAUUGUUUUAUAUGAUUUUCCUAACAAUCAUUUAUAAUUGGAUGUGCUCCUGAAUCUACUUUUUAUUAAAAAAAAAAAAAUCUGCUGUGCACAAUUUUCCAUGUACAUUACAACUGGUUUUUUUGUUUUUGUUUUGUUGGGGGUGUUGGGAGGGGGAGGGAACUUUUAUUUAUUGUGUUCACAAACGCCAUCUUUUCAGCAUAUCCUUUUAAGCUUAGUUCUUCCUUCCAGUUAUACUAUGUACUAUCAGUUUUGAUAUAACUAUAUAUAUAUAAAUAUAAAAUUAUAUAUAAAGAGUUAUUUGAAACAAAAAAAUCUAAAUACUUAUAUUU